UGAAAGUGCUGGGACUGGAGUAGCAUCUUUCUGGCUAUCUCAGACCAGGAAGUCAAACUUCAGUCCUGUUCCCCCUUUGUUUGGUGGAGGAAUUCACUGUGCUAACUGGUGCAUUGGUGCAGAAGAAGUAGCACUAAAACUGUCCUCAUUUUCUGCCCACCAUCUCAUCAGGGAGCAAGCAGUCUGGCAGGAGCUGCUUUCCUUCUAAGUGCAUGCAGACUACAGCCUUCACAGGAGAAUUAAUGCCUUUUUAUUCUUUUGUGGGAGUUUAUCUCAGUUUCCAACCUAUGAAUAUAAACAUUAGUUGGGAAAAUGAAAGAUUUUCUUAUUGAUAAGCCAUGAAAUUAAAUUCUCUUUUGAUCUUUGCUGGAAACUAUUAUGCACAUAGGUUUCUCUUUUCAGGGAAAAUGGAGGAUUAGUUGCAUUAAACAUCUAGAAAAUAAAACAAAAGCAUGACCGUUUUCCUAGGGAAUAAUGGUGUCAUGUUAUGAUUUAUCAGUAUAAUUUAUCUGUGCAUUGUGUAAAAAAGAAAUCCUUUUAAAGGCUAUUGUCAGGAAUAAUUAAACAGAUGAAAAGUGUCUCUGUUAAAAGUAAUCAACAAAGUUUCUUGCCAGUUGUGGCCAGAUCCAAAACCUGUUGAUGUCCGUGAAAUGCCUUACACUGACUUAAGCUGGCUUUCAUAUUGUUCCAUAUAAUCAAUCAUAAGUAUAUUGCAUGAAAGGUGUUGUAUUGUUUUACUCUACCAUAUCAUAAUGUAGGUAUUAUGUAAAAUAUUCAGAAGUUAGAGCAAGAAUCAAAGAAGCUUAUAAACCAAGUCUCACUAUCAGUUAUGGCUUUAAGCCAGGUUUUGAAUGCAUUUAGAUGAUUAAAGAUCAGCUGAAGAAUCUACUGGACUUUUCAAAAUCAUUCAAUGUUUUCCUGUGUGAUCAAAAGGACUGCAGGUCUGUGCAUCAAAAGCUGGCUGUACACUCAAAAUCACGCUCCUAGAGCAUAGGUACUGGGAAAGUGAAUACAAAUCACCUCCACUAGAGAAGACUAGCCAUCAGACCUCAGAGCUGAACAGCUGUUGAAUGAUGGCUGCUGGAAGCACAGUAAAUGGCUUGGAUUAAGAACUGGCUAAAAAAUUACAAGGUAGGUAUGAGGCAAAAGUAAACAAUCAAGUCUUUAUUAACAUCAAAGGAGACAGUGCAGAGGGUGCAGAAAUAGCUGUGGAGGUUGCCAGAGUCCCAUAUAGCUACUGGUAACCUUUGUGGGCUUUUCCACUUGAGGAUGGCAAAGUGGUGAAAGUUAUCCAUAGUUCCAAGAGCAUUUUGGCUGGGAAGAUCCUAAGGUUUUACUCCCAUGGAAUUUAAAUCUGUAAUUUAAUCUGAGAUGUAUUUGAUUUUCAUCCAUAAUCAAGCAACAGAAAUGAAAAGGCCUUUUGUCUUCACUGUAUCCAUUACCAAUAAGGAAAUGGGGAAAGGCUGAUUUUAUGGAAAGUUAUUUUGCAAACUAUGGACAUGGACUUGUAAUUAAAGAACAGUAAUCUUCACAGUCUCUUAUUUGGCCCAGGACAGAGAAUAUACUCUAAUAUACUGCUUUCCUACCUACGGCACAAGGACAAUCAUAAUGUUUAUGUUUAGCUGUGGCUGACAGUAUUGCUGCCUUUAGCUGCACUGCAGUUAUCUUUAGACUGUAGCAGAAAUGACCUACCUAAUAUCCCAGGCAUCCUUUCCUUAAGGGUAGGGUAGACCUGGAUGUCUCUGAAAUAAGAUAAUCAUGUGUAUUAUCUAAUUCUGCAGUCAGCUGGAGGGUGGAAAUUUGUACCUCCCAAAAUGCUCUUCUCUUUGUGGACUGAAUUAUGUUGACAAGAGCCACUAAAAGCUUCAAUGCGGUGCAGUUAUUGCUUAGCUGUAAGUAAGUAAGUAAGAUGAAGUAAGUAACAUCAGGAAAUGCUUUAGAACAGGAAGUGAAAUAGUUAAUAUUUUAGAGGAAAUGGUUACUUCAAGUUUAAUGUACUUAGAGAGUUAGCUAAACUUUGAUUUCUUCAUUGUAAAAAAACACUCUAAAGUCUUUAAUAACUUCAAAGGUUGAGGGCUUCAGUUUUACGGUAGCAGAAUGCUGACUAUGCUUCUCAGGACGAGUUCAAAAGCAAAAGCACAACUUGCUUUGAUCAGAGAAAGCUCAAUUAUAUUAUGGUUCUAGUGAAAUCUGCAUUGCCUUGAUAACUGCAACUGGCAAAUUUUACCCUUCCAUUCCUCCAUCAUGCUAUGCAAAAUAAUCACUUUCUACGUAUAACUCAGGAGUUAAUAAAUUCUCCUACAUUUCAUGGCCUUGCCUCUGAUUUGUUAUUAGAAGCUUAAGGUUUUCAGUAUAGUGGUGGAAAGGCUUCCCUUCCUGCACAUUCUGGCAGAAAAUAGAAAAGGAAAAGAGGCCUUCUUAGGUUGUGUACCUGGGCCAGCCACUUCAAAUUUUUGAAAUCUGUAAAUUAUAGAACGUAUUUUUGUUUCAUUUAAUACUGAGCAACUAUGUUCAAGUCUACCAAGUCAUGCCAAUAUUCACCAAGAUAGUGAAUUACAUCUAUGUGAGAAGGGAGAAACUGGAGCCUGCUGAGAACACAGAGCAAAAGGCUGCUAUGACACAAUUUAAUGCCCCUCACUGGGAAUAAAUAUCUGCCAAGAGGCUGCCUGCUUUUAUAAUCCUUAAAAAACCACAAAAUACCUUUUAUGACUGUGGGUAAUCAAUUGAAAGGAGAUGCUGCUGAACUAUUAUCUCUUCCUUACUACAGGUCUUUUGCAGGUGAGACUGAAACACAGUGAAAGGCUUUAGACAAAUUGGAUUGGACACAAAUCCUGAAACUGUGCAAGAAAAGAAAGGAUGCAAAGCAUCACAGGUCUUUACAUAAAUAAUAAAGGUCCAGUAAUUUGCGUAUAUUAGCACAUGUCUGUCCAAGAUAUCAUCUGUUCUGAUGACAAUUUCCUGAACUAUCCCCAUGUGACCUUGUCACUACAUUUCCUGCCCAAGUCUGUUGCUGUGUUUCUACCUAUCCUGUCUUCAGUCCAUUCUCUCCUCCCCAGCUUGUUUUCAUUUCUUCCCUUCUAAAUUCUGUUCAAUUCUAUUCUCUAUUUUUGUCAGUAUUUUUUUUCUUUUUGUAUUCUCCCUGUCACUGUCAAGUCUUUUUAACUUUCUGUCUUGCCCAGCUCUUCCCAUCUCUUUUCUUCUGAAUUACCCAGCUUUAUUUUUCAGUGCCAAAGCUACAGAAACAUGGGAGGAAGAAUUUCUUCUUCUUGUUUCUCGAGCAUGGUGUUAAAUUACUCAUGGCAAUUGUGCAAUUACAGAAAAAAUGUAUCUUUAGUUCAGGCUAGAAAUUGCAUAUUCAACGCACUUUACUGUCAGGCUGUACGAAAAGCCUCAACUGUUCAUGUGGGAACUGAAACUUUGGAAGCUCAUAUCUUAACCAAAUUUGGGAGAAUUUUUACACCAUGACACUGCAGUGAUGCUUUCCCUCUGCCAGAUUUCAAUUUCUUGCUCUUUAGUUUGAAGGUGUUAGAAGUUUUAUUUUUUUUUUCUUUUUGAUGGUUAAGUAUUAUUUGCUUACAUCUUUCCUGAAAUUGGCUCAUCUCUUUAAGCUGAUGCUUUCCAAGUCUUUCAGCUUGAGGCAAGCACUGGAAAAUCCUAGGAAUGGUCAACACUGUCAAAGUUAUAAACAACUAAAAAUAGGUCUUAUCAUGGAAGCCUUUGAAUAUGCUAACUGUAAGAGGUACAUGUGUAAGAGACAGAACAGACAGCCUGGCUUUCUUUAGAGAUACCUUGGCAAAGACCUGCCCAUCUCCCUGAGGCAGUUCACAUGCACACAGUUUCUAGGCACAUUUCCAAAGAGAGAAUUGAGUAAAUGCUACUUCACAAGCCAGGACAGGAUUGAAAAACUUGCUCUGUAGCCACUGUGCUCUCAGAGCAAUAAGCAAAAAUGAGAGGGUGAGACUGUGGUUUAUAUCCUCUUUCAGAUCCCAGAGAUUACUGUCUCCAGCUGCUCAUCGCCACCUCUUUUGGAGUUCAUAAUCUCUGUUGAUUUGCCAAUGGCAGAUACAAAUGGUGGGUUAGACCAGCUGGAGAAAUUCUGUUGUUUGGUUAGCUGUUGGUUGGGGAUUUUUGUUGGUUGGGUU